GGGGGGAUUUUUGUAAAUACAGUAUAUAAAAUUCCACCUCCAUGGUGACCCUUUGCUGUUCUGUUGCCUGUAUUCUACAGUAUAGAAAUACAUUUGUUUAUUUAGCUUUUUUUAAUGUAAGUAGUUUUAACCCUCCAUCACAAGCAGCUAUACAAUUUUGACACAUUAUUUCAAAGGGACAAAUACCUGAACCUGUUUUCAGAGUUUUCUCUGAUACAAUGUUGUUUAUUUACAAAGAAUGUACAAAGUCAUAUUUUCCUGAAAAAGCAGGAAUCAAACAGUGUACAAUUCUAACUGUGCUCCUAUCCAGUAGUUUACCCAAAAGCCUACCAGUGCUUAGCUCUCUGCUACUUCCCUCUCCACUUUGCUGGGCUUCUCGCUGUUCACAUCAUAGACCCCCUACAACUAAUAGCUAGCAAACUCAAUGGUCAAUAUAUGGCUUGCAAAUGCUUGUUUCAGGCAGUGACAUCUACCUAUGUUUUGUUUGGAGGAUCCUAUUAUUUCAGAUAUUCGUUUCCAGAAAAGAGCUUUAUGGUCUCUAACACUUAUCCUAAAUGAAGGGAAGCAGUAUAUUAAAGUUCAGCAAGGUUUAACCCACAGCAGUAUAUAAAGCUCCCAUUGUUAGAUAAAACAGCAGCAGCACACUUUACAAAUUAAACAAAAGUAACUUUUAAGAUAUGAACCAUAAUUAUUGAGAAAAAUUAAUAAUUAAUAUUGAGGGAGCUCCAGGCUGAGGUGAGCAGGCUGCAGGGGAUCAGGGCUGCAGAGGACAAGAUUGACACCUAUUUCCAUUCACUGCAGGACCAGGCGUCCAGCAUACAGACUCCUCAGGAGAGGCACACAACAGAGGAGUGGCGGAAGGUACCCACCAGAACCAGGGCUGCUCGGGCUAGUGUGGUGGAGGCUCCCCAGGUACAACUCAGGAAUAAAUGAGGCCCUGGCAGCCCUGGAGAAGGACGAAGGGGAUGCAUCCAGCUGGGACAGUGCCGCUCCAUGCACGACACAGACAGCACAGAGAGGGAGCGCUAGGAGGAAGAAACGCUGAGUCCUCAUCAUUGGAGAUUCCAUCCUAAGGGGAACAGAGGGUCCCAUCUGUUGGCCCAACCCCAUGGCACACGAGGUCUGCUACAUGCCUGGGGCUCAGAUUCAAGAUAUCACAGAGAGGAUCCUGGCCUACAUUCGACCCUCGGACUAGUACCCCAUGGUCCUUAUGCAUGUGGGAACAAGUGACAUGGCCAGGGGCAACCCAGACUGCAUCAUGAAAGACUUCGGAGGCCCUGGGGGCCAAGCCCAAGGAGAUGGGAGCACAGGUCGUAUUCUCCUCUAUUCUUCCAGUUGGCUGAUCUCAUACGGCGUGCUUUAAACUAGCUUUGCUGGGGGAUGGGGCCACAGGAAGACAGGAGGACACCUUCCAGCCAAGACUGGUGACAUGCACAAGGAGUACCCAGACUUGACUGGACAGCAGUAAAAGAGGCAAAAGAUGGAUUUUGAGGCAUAUCAGGAACUAAGAAAGACUCCAUGAAGGAUAAUUCAAGCUCUGACAGUACUUCAUCUUUAUUACCAGGAAAAUAUAUGUCCAUAAUAUAGUCCCAGAUGGUAGGAAGACAAGGCAAAGGAGAUUCAACAUCUCACUGACAUCCAUAAUAUGGACAGGUUUUUCUGCACCAUCAAAGCCAUUUAUGGCUCAAGUACUCAGAGACCGAGCCCCUUGAGACCUAAGGAUGGAAGAGACAUGAUCAAGAAAAGGGGAACCAUUAGAAGGAGCAUUCUGAAGCCUUUUCAAUCAAGACUCUCCUGUUGAUGAGUGUUCUUAACUCCAUCCCACAACACCCAGUCAGAGACAAUCUCAGAAUCCAUCCAACCCUUGAUGAGGUGAGGAAAGCCAUCAAGCAAAUAAAGAAUGACAAGGCAUCUGGAACUGAUGGAAUUCCUGCCAAAAUCUUCAAGGAACGGGGAGAAGAGCUCACAUCACAGCUCCUAUGCCCUCAUUUUAAGGAUCUGGAAUGAUGAGGAAAUCCCAGAUGACCUCAGAGGCACCAUGAUUGUGACAAUCUUCAAGAAGGAGACAAGUCUGACUGGAAAUUGCAGAAGGAUUGCUUUGCUAUCCCCUAUGGGAAAGAUCAUUGUGAGAACCCUCCUGAACUGUUUCCUUUCAUUUGCUGAAAAGGUCCUCCCAAAAUCUCAGUGUGGGUUUAGGGUAUCAAGAGGCACAGCUGACAUGAUCUUCAUUGCCUGCCAGCUGCAGGAAAAAUGUCAGGAACAAAAUAAACCUGUCCACAUGGCCUUCUUUGACCUCACAAAAGCUUUUGACUGUCAACCGAGCUGUGCAGGAUCCUUCUGAACUAUGGGUGCCCACCAAAAUUCAUCAUCAUUCUUUGCCUGCUCUAAAAUGGUAUGUGAGUGGUGGUUCUCAGUAACAGAUCUAUCACAAAUCCCUUUGAAGUUAAGAUGGGAAUUAAGCAAGGCUGCCUCAUCAUUUCAAAACUCUUCUCUAUUCCUUACCGCAAUCCUACAUCUAACCACCCACCAACAAUCUUCCAGUCAGAAUGGAACUAAACUACCAAAUGAAUGGUAAACUGUUUAAUCUCAGCUGACUCUGAACCAAAACCAAGUUUACUCCGAAAUUAAUCACUGAGCUCCCAUACGCUGAUGAUGCUGUAGUGCAUUCUCCCUCGGAAACAGACCUUCAAGCAAUCAUUCACAUCUUUACUGAGGCAUACAAGAAAAUGGGCCUGAUGCUUAACGUUCAAAAGACUACGGUCCUCCAUCAACAGGUUCUUAAUAAGCAGUCCCCAGCUGCGGUAAUUCAAAUUCACAGUGAGACUCUGGAGAACAUCGAGUAUUUCCUGUACCUCAGAAGCCUUCUCUCACAGAAGGCUGACAUCAGUGAAGAAAUCCAACUUCACCACAAAUGUGCAAAUACAGCCUUUGGACACCUGAGGAAACAUGUUCAAAGAUCACAACAUCAGAUGGGAAACUAAGCUCAUGGUUUAUCAAGCAUUCAUGAUCCCCACCUUACUAUAUGGAGCUGAGAUAUGGACAACAUACAGAUGACAUCUCAAGCCACUAGAGAAGUACCAUCAAUGCUGCCUGCAGAAAAUCUUUCAAAUCCAGUGUGAAGACAGAUGCACCACCAUUAGCAUCUUCUCACAAGCAAACACCACAAACAUUUGAGGCAAUGUUCAUCCAACAUCAACUUCUUCUAGGUGUCCGACUCCAGCUCAGUCAAGGCGUAUGCAGUAUUGACAUCAACUUGUGGGUAACUAUCGCCCAGGACCACCCCAAAUGGAGGAAGUGUCUGCUGCAAGGCUCUCAGUACUUUGAAACUUUAUGACAACAACAGGAAACGGAAAAGUGGAAGUGGCAGGAACAGUGUGCCAUGGACCGAAUCAAGAACCCAGAGCCACCCACUUCACAUGGAAACACAUACCCAAGCUGCAACAGAGUCUGUCGAUCCCAUAUAGGCCUCAUCAGCCAUUUUUAACCUAUAGAUAAGACAAUCAUCCUUGUCUCUGAGGUAUUGUUAAUUAAGACAGGCCUAGUACGCAAACCCAGUAUCUGCUGUGCUGAGGGGGGGGAGGACACACGACACCCAAAAAACAAAAAACAAAUCCAAACACUUAGCUUAUCUGCCAUGUCUUUCUAUUUAACUGCUGCCUUUCCUCCAUGAUGUCUCAAUAAACCUACCAAUCUUC